rnacentral:rRNA from 1 species
GUUGAACGCUGGCGGCAUGCCUUACACAUGCAAGUCGAACGGCAACAGGUCUUCGGAUGCUGACGAGUGGCGAACGGGUGAGUAAUACAUCGGAACGUGCCCGAUCGUGGGGGAUAACGGAGCGAAAGCUUUGCUAAUACCGCAUACGAUCUACGGAUGAAAGCAGGGGACCGCAAGGCCUUGCGCGGACGGAGCGGCCGAUGGCAGAUUAGGUAGUUGGUGGGAUAAAAGCUUACCAAGCCGACGAUCUGUAGCUGGUCUGAGAGGACGACCAGCCACACUGGGACUGAGACACGGCCCAGACUCCUACGGGAGGCAGCAGUGGGGAAUUUUGGACAAUGGGCGAAAGCCUGAUCCAGCCAUGCCGCGUGCAGGAUGAAGGCCUUCGGGUUGUAAACUGCUUUUGUACGGAACGAAAAGACUCUUUCUAAUAAAGAGGGUCCAUGACGGUACCGGAAGAAUAAGCACCGGCUAACUACGUG